UUGACCUCAAAUCAGGUAGGACUACCCGCUGAACUUAAGCAUAUCAAUAAGCGGAGGAAAAGAAACUAACAAGGAUUCCCCUAGUAACUGCGAGUGAAGAGGGAAAAGCUCAAAUUUAAAAUCUGGCUGUUCUAGUUAGCAGUCCGAGUUGUAGUUUAGAGAAGUGCUAUCCGCGCUGGCCUGUGCAUAAGUUUCUUGGAAAAGAACAUCAUAGAGGGUGACAAUCCCGUCUUUGGCACAGAUCACCAGGGCUUUUGUGAUGCGCUCUCGACGAGUCGUGUUGUUUGGGAAUGCAGCACUAAAUGGGUGGUAAAUUCCAUCUAAAGCUAAAUAUUGGCGAGAGACCGAUAGCGAACAAGUACCGUGAGGGAAAGAUGAAAAGAACUUUGAAAAGAGAGUUAAACAGUACGUGAAAUUGUUGAAAGGGAAACGCUUGAAGUCAGUCGUGUCCUGCAGGGAUCAAGUUGCCCUUUGGGGUGAUCGCAUUUCCUGCUGGAUGGGUCAGCAUCAAUUUUGACCGCUGGAUAAAGGCUUAGGGAAUGUGGCAUCUUCGGAUGUGUUAUAGACCUGGGUUGUAUACAGUGGUUGGGAUUGAGGAACUCAGUGUGCCUUCGUGGUCGCAACUCAGGAUG
rnacentral:rRNA from 1 species